rnacentral:lncRNA from 10 species
CUCACACAGCAUAUGUCAAGAGACACAGGAGUCAACUGAAGGGCUCGGAAUAGCCAAGUAGGGAACAAUGAAAGCAAGAGAACAAACCAUGUGGUCCUAGAUUAUAACCCAAAGUAUACAAUAAAUGUCCAUGGGUCCAUACUGAUAUGAAAAUGAUAUCAACAAGUAACUAAACAAAGCAGAAUAGCCAACUGUCCUGUGUAGAAGAAUUCAAAAUAAUUUAUACAAAUAUUCCAUUCUCAGGAGGAGGGUCAUCACUCCCCACCCUUCAGCGUGGGCUGUGAAGAGGAACUUCCUUCUUAAGAGUACAGCAUGGGCAGUGAGACGAGAUCACACCACUGCACUCCAGCCUGGUAACAGAAUGAGACUACAUCUCAAAAAAAAAAAAAAAAAAAAAAAAAAAAAGGAUGGUUGCUUCCAAGAUGGCCAAAUAGGAACAGCUCUUGUCUGCAGCUCCCAGGGAGAUCAACACAGAAGACAGGUGAUUUCUGCAUUUCCAACUGAGGUACCUGGUUCAUCUCACUGGGACUGACUGGUUGGACUGUAGGUGCAGCCCACAGAGAGCAAGACGAAGCAGAGUGGGGUGUCACAUCACCUAGGAAGUGCAAGGGUUCAGGGGAUUUCCCUUUUCUAGCCAAGGGAAGCCGUGAGAGACUGUACCUGGAGGAACAGUAUACUCUUGCCCAAAUACUGUGCUUUUCCCAUGGUAUUAGCAACUGACAGACCAGGAGAUUCCCUCCUGUGCCUGGCUCAGUGUGUCCCAUGCCCACAGUCUUGCUCACUGUUAGCGCAGCAGUCUGAGAUCAACCUGCUAGGCUGCAGCCUGACAGGGGGAGGAGCAUCUGCCAUUGCUGAGGCUUGAGUAUUAAACAAAGCGGCUGGGAAGCUUGAACUGGGCAGAGCCCACCGCAGCUCAGCAGUGCCUACUGCCUCUCAAGAAUCUACCUCUGUGGGCAGGGCAUACCUGAACAAAAGGCAGCAGACAACAUCUGCAGACUUAAACGUCCCUGUCUGACAGCUCUGAAGAGAGUAGUGUUUCUCCCAGCAUGGCAUUUGAGCUCUGAGAACAGACAGACUGCCUCCUCAAGCAGGCCUCUGACCCCCAUGUAGCCUGUCUAGGGGACACCUCCCAGAAGGGGCCGACAGACACCUCAUACAGGCAGGUGCGCCUCUGGGACGAAGCUUCGAGAGGUAGGAGCAGGCAGCAAUAUUUGCUGUUCUGCAAUAUUUGCUGUUCUGCAGCCUCUGCUGGGGAAGACUGAGGGUCUGGAGUGGACCUCCAGCAAACUCCAACGGACCUGCUGCUGAGGGGCCUGACUGUUAGAAGGAAAACUAACAAACAGAAAAGAAUAGCAUCAACAUCAACAAAAAGGACAUCCACACCAAAACCCCAUCUGUAGGUCACCAACAUCAAAGACCAAAGGUAGAAUAAACCACAAAGAUGGGUAGAAACCAGAGCAGAAAGGCUGAAAAUUCCAAAAACCAGAGUGCCUUUUCUCCUCCAAAGGACUGCAGCUUCUCACCAGCAACAGAACAAAACUGGAGGGUGAAUGAGCUUGACGAGUUGACAGAAGUAGGCUUCAGAAGGUUGGUAAUAACAAACUUCUCGGAGCUAAAAGAAGGAUGUUUGAACCCAUGGCAAGGAAGCUAAAAACCUUGAAAAAAGGUUAGACGAAUGGCUAACUAGAAUAAACAGUGUAGAGAAGACCUUAAAUGACCUGAUGGAGCUAAAAACCGCAGCAUGAGAACUUCGUGAUGCAUGCACAAGCUUCAAUAGCCAAUUCGAUCAAGUGGAAGAAAGAAUAUCAGUGACUGAAGAUCAAAUUAAUGAAAUAAAGCGAGAAGACAAAAUUAGAGAAAAAUGAGUGAAAAGAAACGAACAAAGCUUCCAUGAAAUAUGCAAUUCUGUAAAAAGACCAAAUCUCCGUUUGAUUGGUGUACCUGAAAGUGACAGUGAGAAUGGAACCAAGUUAGAAAACACUCUUCAGGAUAUUAUCCAGGAGAACUUCCCAACCUAGAAAGGCGGGCCAACAUUCAAAUUCAGGAAAUACAGAGAACACCACAAAGAUACUCCUCUAGAAGAGCAACCCCAAGACACAUAAUUGUCAGAUUCACCAAGGUUGAAAUAAACGGAAAAAUGUUAAGGGCAGCCAGAGAGAAAGGUCAGAUUACCCACAAAGGCAAGCCCAUCAGACUAACAGUGCAUCUCUCGGCAGAAACCCUACAAGCCAGAAGAGAGUGGGGGCCAAUAUUCAACAUUCUUAAAGAAAAGAAUUUUCAACCCAGAAUUUCAUCUCCAGCCAAACUAAGCCUUCAUAAGUGAAGGAGAAAUAAAAUCUUUUACAGACAAGCAAAUGCUGAGAGAUUUUGUAACCACCAGACCUGCCUUACAAGAGCUCUUGAAGGAAGCACUAAACAUGGAAAGGAAGAACCGGUACCUGCCACUGCAAAAACAUGCCAAAUUAUAAAGACCAUCAAUGCUAUGAAGAAACUGCAUCAAUUAACAGGCAAAAUAACCAGCUAAUAUCAUAAUGACAGGAUCAAAUUCACACAUAACAAUAUUAACCUUAAAUGUAAAUGGACUAAAUGCCCCAAUUAAAACACACAGACUGGCAAAUUGAAUAAAGAGUCAAGACCCAUCAGUGUGCUGUAUUCAGGAG